CGUUGGCGUGCUGACGUCGCGGCGGAGGACGCGCGUGUUUCGGCUAGGGGUCCGGGCGUGGGUUUAGAAACAGCGCAGGACUGUAGGGUGUUCUGGGCGUCCAGGGUGCGUGGGUUUCUUUUUGGAGUUUGCCGCCGAAUGUGUUGUCUGCGUUCCACCCGUUCGGGAAGAGGGAAGCAGCGGAGAGGUUCUGUACGGACAGAGCUGGGGCUCGUGAAGGGGAAGGGCGCCUUCGGGCGGCUCUGGAGCGCCUGAGGCAGGGCUGCGGCCCGAAGAGGGGAGAAGAGAAGGAUUCCUGCAGUCAGGGUCCAACCCGUUUGGGAUCAGGGCUGGUCCCGAGGAGGGCCUGGGGCAGCCGUGCGAUGUUCGGGGCCCGGUGCCUGCUCCGAGCCCUGCGCUUCUGCUCCUCCUCUCCCUGCCCGAGGCACAAACCUUCAGCCAAGCUGAGCGUGCGGGACGCUCUCAGGGCCCAGAACGCGAGUGGGGAGCGCGUUAAGGUCCAGGGAUGGAUUCGUUCAGUCCGAUCCCAGAAGGAAGUCUUGUUCCUGCAUGUGAAUGAUGGGACAUCUUUGGAAAGCCUUCAGGUUGUAGCAGAUUCAAGCUUUUACAGUAGAGAAUUGGCUUUUGGGAGUUCUGUGGAAGUUCAAGGGCAGCUGGUAAAAAGUCCAUCCAAAAGGCAAAAUGUGGAAUUGAAGGCAGAAAAAAUUGAAGUUGUUGGAAAUUGUGAUGCCAAGGAUUUCCCUUUAAAAUACAAAGAGAGGCAUCCUCUGGAGUAUCUGAGACAAUAUCCUCACCUUAGGUGUAGGACGAAUGUUCUGGGUUCUAUUCUGAGAGUUCGCAGCGAAGCCACAGCUGCUAUCCAUUCUUUCUUUAAGGACAAUGGCUUUGUGCAUAUUCAUACUCCAAUCAUCACAUCCAAUGACUGUGAGGGGGCUGGAGAACUUUUUCAGGUCGAACCUUCAAGCAAAAUAAAAGUACCUGAGGAGAAUUUCUUCAAUGUUCCUGCAUUUUUAACUGUCUCGGGACAACUUCACCUAGAAGUGAUGUCAGGAGCUUUUACUCAAGUGUUUACCUUUGGCCCAAAAUUUCGAGCAGAGAAUUCUCAGAGCCGGAGACACCUGGCAGAGUUUUAUAUGGUAGAAGCAGAGAUUUCCUUUCUUGAGAAUCUUCAAGAUCUCAUGCAGGUAAUGGAGGGCCUCUUUAAGACUACAACAAUGACAGUUCUGUCAAAUUGUCCUGAAGAUGUUGAACUGUGUCACAAGUUCAUAGCUCCUGGCCAAAAGGACAGAUUAGAACAUAUGCUAAAAAACAACUUUCUAAUCAUUUCUUACACUGAGGCAGUGGAGAUCUUAAAGCAGGCAUCCCAGAACUUCACCUUCUGCCCAGAGUGGGGUGCUGAUCUACACACCGAACAUGAAAAGUACCUGGUGAAGCACUGUGGCAACAUGCCAGUCUUUGUCAUUAAUUAUCCAUUAAAGCUCAAGCCAUUCUACAUGAGGGAUAAUGAAGAUAGUCCUCAGCACACAGUUGCUGCUGUUGAUCUUCUGGUUCCUGGAGUUGGAGAACUCUUUGGAGGAAGCCUCAGAGAGGAACGGUACCAUUUCUUAGAGCAGCAGUUGGCCAGAUCGGGACUGACAGAAGCCUACCAAUGGUAUCUGGACCUCCGUCGAUUUGGAUCUGUGCCACAUGGCGGUUUUGGGAUGGGAUUUGAACGCUAUCUGCAGUGCAUCCUGGGAAUUGACAACAUCAAAGAUGUUAUCCCUUUUCCAAGAUUUACUCAUUCGUGUCUUUUAUAGCUGGAAGACUGAUUAAGGAAAAUCACCCCAUGCCAGAGGUACUGCACAUGAACACAUAUACCAGGAGAAUACAUAUUUGAAUUUUAGAAAUGCAGAGAUUUUCAGCAUGUAAUUGUCAUGCCAUAAGAGGUAUGGAAAAUACACGUGAUCUUGAUUUUUCCGGAAAGUUGAAGCCAUUUCACAGAAAGAUGAACUCCUUCAAGAAGAGGUACUUAUAGCAGAUAGAAUCUCAAAUCUAUUGUGUCAAUUAAGACAAAAUGAACAAAUUGAACUAGAUGGUCUGAAAGGUCCUUUCAAACUCUAAGACAAGAUGAAAUAGUGUAUUUUAUUUUGUCUUUAAUCUGUAGACCACUGCCCUGUGUCACCUUUGAGAAACAACUAGUAGCUAAAAAUAAAAUGUUCAUGGAUCUCUUCUUCCUUGCCCUUUAACCUAUGAUAAAUUCCCAUCUUAUUUUCAGAAGAAAAUCCUUUUUCAGGUCUUAAUUGAGUUAAUAAAGUUGCUAUUGUGAGUUGAAAUCUUUUUUUUCAUCAGACUGUGUGAAAAAAAUCACAUUUAAUAGCUAUUGAUCCUUGAAAUUAACAUUGUAAAUCAACUACAAUUCAGUAAAAAGUUUUUUUAAUAACAACUGCUGCUUAGUUAUGAGCUAACAAGAAGUUUUAAUUAUUUAACCUAAUCACUGUUGUGUUACAGUUAGUUUGUGUCAGAUAUUUAUAACAUCUCUGAUAAUCAGUAAAAUAGAUUUUUGAUACCUAUCAAAGAGAAAAACAGGUUUUUAAAUUCCAUUUGGCCUUUUCCAAGUGAAAUUUGGAAGGAAGGUAUUUUCGAUCCAAGAUGAGGAUACAGUAUGGCUAAACCUAAAGGGUGGAUAAUUCUGGUGUCAAAAAGUAACAGAGUGUAUUAGAGUUAGAAGAUCAUUGAUUUGGGAGUUUGAAGCCUGACAGUUCUAGCACUUACAUGUAUAAAUUUGAGUAAGCCACCUCCUCUGUAUGAACGUACGCAUCAUUUUCCUCACAGAGCUGAUCAUAAUUACAUGAAAGUGUGUGUGUGUGCAUGUGUGUUUAAAACUGUGGAAUGCUACACAAAUUUUUAAAAAAUCUUCUAGUUUUCAUUGAGGUAAGGAUAAACAGACUUAUGGCAAAUUGUAAACUCAGGAUUUGUAUGUAUCAAACAAUUAUAAAAAGGCAUACAUACCUGAAAAAUCAAUUUUCUAAGUCUCACUAGAUGACUUCGGUUACUUCCUAAUGAUUUCUGUAUGCACUUUACUUUAACCUAACUCAAAAUCAAGCAACUGAAAAGAACUUCAGAGUUGGAAGUCGUGAAAGGCACUGAGAGAUGGUCAAGGUCAAACUUCUGCACAAAGCAGAGAGAUCCUAUGCACCUUGGCAGCCUCUUGGCAAAGAGCUCAGUACCCUGCAAAACAGUUCAUUCCAUUUCUGAAUCUCUCUAAUUGGUAGCUUUUGCUGAACUAAAAUCUACUUCCCUGGAACUUUAAUCCCUGGGCUUAGAUACCCAGUUUAAGACUGGAUAAAAGGGAUAAUUACGGCUUCCAUAAGGCUUGCCUCAGCCAAGGGGAGAGAGUUAAAUUCAUUUAUUUACUCAACAAAUAUUAUUUGAACUUACUCUGUGUGCCAGGAACGGUGCUAGGUACAAUAGUGAAAUGACCCUUGCCUUCAUGGAAUUUAUGGUCUAUUAUAAAAGAUACACAGUCAUUAAGUAAACAAAUGUAUUAUUUUAAAAUAUGGCAUGGCCUGUAAAAUUUUAUAAAGAACAAGGCAAUCACAGAUAAUCUUACUGGAGGAGGCAUUUAGCUUUAGAUCUGGAAGAUAAAGUGCAGAAACCAUUUAAAAAUGUUUGUAACAUCAGUUAAUUUGAUUUGGCAUUCAGGUCUUUUUUUUUUAAAUUAGGUUUGUUUGUUUGUUUGUUUGUUUAAAUAGAGAUACAGAGAAUUGAACCCAGGACCUUGUGCAUGCUAAGCAUGCACUCUACCACUCAGCUGUACUCUCCCCCUGGCAUUCUUGAUGCUGUAUUUUGUGGAGCGAGAAUCACAAACAUUCACAGGCCCCAAACCUGGAUGCACUAGUAAUUUCCAAGGCUAUCAGGAAUCAUGCCUGCAGUGAUUUUUGAGGAAUCAGAUAAAAUUGUGACAUUAACAUGAUGGCUGGGCAUCAGAAAUGAUAGUGAUAGAAAGAACACUGAAUGAGAGAGACCACAGGUUCUGGUCCCAUUGCCACCAUUAGCUUAGCUGAGAAGCACUAGGCGAAUAAGAUCAUCUUUGUGACCUCCAGUUGUCUCAUCUGCAGAACUGUCAUUUUGAAGGAGAUGUACUUUAAGGAUCCUUCUGUCUCUUAAUCUUCUAUGAAUCUGUGCUGGACAUAGUCACUAAAAAUAAUUGAUUUAGAGUGUGACCUUUGAAUUUCAUUUUAAUGUAUACUAGGUAUCUAGAAAUGUAUAGUGAAAUCAAAUGGCUGAAAGUGUAACAGUACAUACACCUAAGUGUGUUCAGUGUAUGCAUAUGUGAGAUGGGAGAAGGUCCUUCUCGAGGAGUCAAACAUACAUUCUUCCUUAUCUUUUUGAUAGUCUCCAGCAAUAUAUUUCAAAACCUUCAUACUUAUUUGUUCGUUCUUUUCUUUCACAGUUGAUCACAUAGUAAGUAUCUCAUUGAAGCCAGACAUUUGCCACUUAGCCUACUAAUUUCCAUCUUUGGUUCAGUUCUUAUGUUUUGCCAAGAACUGGACAAAAACGAACACUAAUGUCAGACAAGGGUAAUGAAAAUGCCAAAACUAAACUGUUGCUUGCAGGCAGCAUCAAGAGGGAAAAACUUUUAAAUGUCCACUUGUCGGCUAAUAUAUGAAUAUUCAAAUUCUACGUACAAACAGCAUUUAUAAUUCUACAUAGAAUGAAUGAAAUGUCUGGAUAUAAUUGUUGAGGACCAUCUAUUCUGUAAUAAUAUUGGGCUGAUUUUGUGUGUUGAAAGGUGAUUUGAGGGUAUUAAUUUUCACUCGAGUAACCAGUUUCCAACAAGGGAAAAACCAGGUCUGUUGUCCCAAGAUUUCCAAACGUCACCUCAAAAUAGUAAUCCAAGUAAGAGUGUAUUCUAAAACUUAGAAAUGUUUUUUCCAUAAUUCCCAUUCUCAUUUCAAAUUUUGACGUAGGUGGAGAAAAAUAGUAUCUUUCCAUCUGGCUGUCCUCUUGCCUGGGGAAGUUGUGCUGUCAUGGCUUUGUUUUUUGGUUUUUUAGGGAUGUGACAAGAACUUAAUUGUGUAUGUGAUCCAUUCCAGAUCUAGACAUAUCCCUCCCACCCUUUGACCCAGCCCAGAGACUCUGUCACAGAACAGCAAAGGAACUGCUUGACCUUUUGUCCCUCUCAGAGUCUGCCAGAAGCAUCUCUCUACAGUGCUACACAUUCAUAUUCUUUAUAAAUUGAAUCUAGACAUUCAAGCACGACUGAACAGGCAUUGAAGAUGCAGUUGGUUUUUGCAUCAGGCAACUGUUGGGUCAGAUUCCUGCCAGAAAAUGUGCUGGACGUUUGGUGUCUUGGAGCAGGUAUUGGAUGUAGCAGGAGAAGACUCUGGUUUUCAUUAGACACUACUUACCAGCUGCGGAACCUUAAGCAAGUUAUUUUAUCUCUUGAGUUUGUAUACGCUUCUGCAAAAUGAGGAUAAUAUUUAUCAUACAGAGUGUUGUGAGAAACAGUGAAGACUGUGUGAAAAGGUUUCAUAAACUGAAAACACUACUCAAAUGUAAGGUCUCCUAAGGAAAUUCUUUUCAAAACUCAGAAAAAAGGGGUAUGAACUAAGACAUUUAUUGCAUAUUGAAUAAAAUAUUUUAUAGCCAUAAAAA